UAAAGCCACUAUCAGAUUCUUAUGCACCGUGGUCCGAUCUGACUUUGGGACACUAGAGGGAGACACAGAGCAAGAAACACACAGAUCAACAGCAAUGAAGAGGAUAAAUGUGAAGAUCAGCCCACACAACGACACUCCACAGCCGAUAAAACUAAGAAUCUGCAAACCUCUGUCAUCCUCUACUGUACGCUGCAAACAAAACACACACAAACACAUACACAACAGCUUUGACCUCACCCGUACUUAGAUUUCAAUCAAAUUAGGGAACUAAACAUUGUUUGUCUGUGUCUGAAUGUUCAGAACACAUAUUUUGGAACACAAAAGCAAAAAUAAGUUCCUUAGUAACUUUUCUGCAAUGUCACGUCAAUGAAACCCAACCUGAACAUCAUAAAUCUGUAGAAGCAGCGCAAAAUUGGUGGUGUGGUUACAGUAACAGGAAGUAGAGUCUUGUUCAGAGGAAGUGACCACACAGCCAUCAGUGGACCACGUUCCUCCAUUUUCUGGCCUGAAGAGUAAACAAAAAAUAAGCAUUCCAGGAAAGUUACAUCUGAAUUAAAUCAGGUCAUUAAAUAGAA